GACGAACGCUGGCGGCGUGCUUAACACAUGCAAGUCGAACGGAAAGGCCCUGCUUUUGUGGGGUGCUCGAGUGGCGAACGGGUGAGUAACACGUGCGUAACCUGCCCUGGCGUUGGGCAAACUUCAAGGAACUCGGGCUCAUACCGGGUUGGGGCUCCAGCUGCAUGGUGGGGGUUGGGAAGGUUCGGCGGUUGGGGAUGGAGUUGCGGCUUAUAAAGUUGUUGGUGGGGAUGUUGCCUAGCAAGGCCUUGACGGGGAGCCGGCAUGAGAGGGUGACCGGCCACAUUGGGACUGAGAUACGGCGCAGACGCCUACGGGAGGCAGCAGUGGGGAAUAAUGCACAAUGGGCGGAAGCCUGAUGCAGCAACGCCGCGUGGGGGAUGAAGGCCUUCGGGGUGUAGACCGCUUUCGCCCGUGACGAAGCGUGAGUGACGGUAAUGGGUAAAGAAGCACCGGCUAACUACGUG
rnacentral:rRNA from 1 species